rnacentral:lncRNA from 1 species
CCAUAGCAAAGUACCACGGACUGGGUGGCUUAAACAACAGAAACUCAUUUUCUCACGGUCCUGAAGUCCAAGAACAAAGUGUCAGCAGGGUUGGUUUCUGGUGAGGACUCUUCCGAACUUGCAAUGGCUGCCUUCUCACUGUGUCCUCAUGUGGAUUUUUCCUUGUGUGUGUGUACUUCUCAUGUGCUUUCCUUUUCCUAUAGGAUAGCAGUCCUGUUGGAUCAGGGCCUCACCCUUGUGACUGCAUUUAACCUUAUUUACUUCCUUAAAGGCCCUGCCUCUAAAUCCUGUCAUACUGGGGAUUAUGGCUUCAACACUUAGAUUUUGGGGGAGACACAGCUCAGUCCAUAGCACUGCCCAAUGGGCAAAGCUUGGCCAGCCUCCAUGUCUGUGGGGCUUCUCUUUCCUGCGAGGGCCUGGUCUCCUAGAGAAGCCCCAGUCUUCCCUGUUCCUGGUUGUCCCCAUCCUUCCUCCUCUCAGGGGAGGAGGCCAGACCUUCUCCUUGGACUCAGUGCUUGACCAGCUACUCCCUCCACAAGGGUUAGGAACUGUCAGAGUGUGGCUCAACUGAGAAACAACUUUCUGAGUAGAGGUGGGGAAAGAUGGGCUAAGAGGCUUCUGAGGUCAUGUGUUCACCAUCACUGAGGCACUGUGAUGUGUUAGGUGGGUCUGAACCCUCUGGCUUCAGAGAGAGUGCCUGUGGGGCACCAGGUAAUCCGAGACUGCAGCUCAGAGAUUACUCCAGCAAAGGGUCAGGUAUCCACACUGCCUCUGCUACCUGCCCGUUGGUCACUCACUCAUUGUUCUGAUGAUAAGAUCGACAGAUCACAAGAAGGGACAAGGCUCAUCCCAGGAGGAUCCAUGAUGCUUUAUGAAGACAGUCCCAACAGCCCAUCUCUGUCAUCCUCCAGACGUGCCAAGGCUGAAUCAUGGAGCAAACACAGCACAGGCUCAAGCUGAGACCCUGCCAUGUGACCUCCUAGUUCUAUGAAAUACCCUUCAACAAUGCAGAAUUGACAAACCCUCCCAGAACCUGAUAUAGAUACACAUAUUUAUUAUAUAAGUGUCUCAGUAAAGAAACAAUUUUCUGUAGUGCUUAGUAGCAGACUUCUGACUCCAUAAGAUGUUUCUAAGUAAAGGUUUCUUGGUCAAGGAAUUUGGAAAAUGCUCAUAGUGUAUAUGAUUCUAGGAGACUUUGGAAACACAUUAGUGCAUUCGGAAGCCCUGCAGUAG